ACCGCAGGCCGCCUUAUCGCUGUUUCAGCAAUGAAACGGAGGAAAGUCCGGGCACCAUAGGGCAGCAUAGCGGGUAACGCCCGUCACGUCAGAGCAAUUUGAUGGAGGACAAGUGCAACAGAAAGCAAGUACAGUUCGGCUGUAGUGAAACCAGGUAAACUCUAUGCGGUGAAAUGCCAAGUAUACCGUCAGUUAAGGGCGGCUCGUCCGUUGACGGAGGGUAGGCAGAUAGAACCGUACGGCAACGUUCGGUCCAGAUAAAUGAUAAGGGCUCGUGAGAGUACAGAACCCGGCUUACAGGCCUGCUUUUUUU
rnacentral:RNase_P_RNA from 1 species